rnacentral:rRNA from 1 species
GAUGAACGCUGGCGGCAUGCCUUACACAUGCAAGUCGAACGGCAGCACGGGUGCUUGCACCUGGUGGCGAGUGGCGAACGGGUGAGUAAUACAUCGGAACGUACCUUAUCGUGGAGGAUAACGCAGCGAAGGCUGUGCUAAUACCGCAUACGCCCUGAGGGGGAAAGCGGGGGAUCGAAAGACCUCGCGCGAUUAGAGCGGCCGAUGCCUGAUUAGCUUGUUGGUGGGGUAAAAGCCCACCAAGGCGACGAUCAGUAGCUGGUCUGAGAGGACGAUCAGCCACACUGGGACUGAGACACGGCCCAGACUCCUACGGGAGGCAGCAGUGGGGAAUUUUGGACAAUGGGGGCAACCCUGAUCCAGCAAUGCCGUGUGAGUGAAGAAGGCCUUCGGGUUGUAAAGCUCUUUUGUCAGGGAAGAAACACCGGCUCUAACACAGUCCGGGAAUGACGGUACCUGAAGAAUAAGCACCGGCUAACUACGUGCCAGCCGCCGCUGUAA